CCUACGGGAGGCAGCAGUGGGGAAUUUUGGACAAUGGACGCAAGUCUGAUCCAGCCAUGCCGCGUGCGGGAAGAAGGCCUUCGGGUUGUAAACCGCUUUUGUCAGGGAAGAAACGGCUUUCUCUAAUACAGAAGGCUAAUGACGGUACCUGAAGAAUAAGCACCGGCUAACUACGUGCCAGCAGCCGCGGUAAUACGUAGGGUGCAAGCGUUAAUCGGAAUUACUGGGCGUAAAGCGUGCGCAGGCGGUUAUGCAAGACAGAUGUGAAAUCCCCGGGCUCAACCUGGGAACUGCAUUUGUGACUGCAUGGCUAGAGUACGGUAGAGGGGGAUGGAAUUCCGCGUGUAGCAGUGAAAUGCGUAGAUAUGCGGAGGAACACCGAUGGCGAAGGCAAUCCCCUGGACCUGUACUGACGCUCAUGCACGAAAGCGUGGGGAGCAAACAGGAUUAGAUACCCUGGUAGUCCACGCCCUAAACGAUGUCAACUGGUUGUUGGGAGGGUUUUCUUCUUACGUACGUAACGACGUACGUACGGUGUAGUAGUACGACCGUCGGUAGGGUAACGGUCCGGCCGACGGUAGGGUUAACGUAACCGUAAACGUAAAGUAAGUUAAGUUACGGUACGGUACGGUAGGACGGUACGUACGACCGGACGGACCGACCGACGGGAGGGGAGGGAGG
rnacentral:rRNA from 1 species